GAAAACCUCAGAAGAUGAAGAAGUAGUUUGGUCGCUCAGUUCGAUUAUUACACCGUUCUCAACGCAACCAUAACAACAAACAACUGCGUGAGGGAUUUACAUUGAUCUCAAACCCUCGCCAUUCAGAUGUUCAUCAUGAGUGCGCAGGUGGAUGUGAUUCAUGCUGAUGAACAGCAGAUGCUGCAGACACCAGUGAAGAUUGAAGUGAAGCAGGAGGAGAUAAAAGAAGAAAACACAACAGAGGAACAUCAGAGUGGUGAAGUUGUUCCUGCAGAGCUGAUGGAAGUGAAAGAGGAAUGUGAAGAACUGAAUGAAGUGAAGGACGAAAAGCAAGAUUUCAUAUCUGGAGAAAAAUGUUUGAGUGUCUCAAACACUAAAAAGAAUUUAUCUCCAAGAAGGCCUCGAAGAAGUGCAGCCAAGAAAUCUUUCACCUGCUCUCGGUGUGGAAUGUGUUUCACAAGUAAUAGCAGUCUUAAACAGCAUCAAGUUUCAACAUCAGAUUCAAUCACUUCCCAGCAUGUUUGCCUGGAUAGUGACGAAGAGUUCACAAUUUCUUCAGACGAAGAGUGGGACCCCAACGAUGAACUGUUUCAUUUUGAAGAGGGACUUGAUCCAGCCGAGGAUACAAUUGCGGAUGACGAUGAGAAUGAUAGUGAUCAGACACCUGUUGCAAAGAGGGCAAAGAAGGCCAAGACAAGGAAAAAGCAGUCCACUCUGUCAUGGAAAACAGAGACUGAUAUUGACACGGUUCCCCAGACUCUGAAAUUUCUGCCUGCACGGGAACCUGGACCACAGCUGAGUCCUGCUGAUGCACACACUCCCCUGAGUCUCUUCAAAAUGUUUUUUUCUGAGAAUGCAGUGUCAACUCUGUGCCACAACACCAAUGCUCAGGCUGCCAGGGCAAUUGCAAAGGGCCGCAAAUAUAAAUGGGUAGAUGUCAGCGUCAGUGAGAUGUACUGCUACUUUGGCCUGCUGUUUUACAUGGCCAUGGUGAAGGUGAGCUCCAUCAGAGACUACUGGCGGCCAGACAGUGUUUUCUCUGUGACUUUUCCUGCCACAAUCAUGUCAAGAGAAAGAUACCGCACCAUUUCAUGGAAUCUGCACAUGAGUCACCCAGAUGCAGAUAAAGAAAAUGACAGAAAAAGGGGCACAGCUGAACAUGACCAUCUUUUCAGGGUCAAACCUCUGAUGGACACUAUCCGUCAUGCUUGUAAAGCCAUCUAUCAUCCUAAAAGAAACUUAGCUGUGGAUGAAAAAAUGGUGGAAUGUAAAUCAUACAGAAAAAUGACACCGUCCAUGAAAGCCAAGCCAAGCAGGUGGGGCUUCAAGUUGUUUGCCCUUACUGAUUCAUCAAAUGGAUACACUGUGGAUUUUUCUGUAUACACAGGAAAAAACAACUUUCCCACAGGACAUGGAAUAUCAUAUGAUGCUGUGACAUCUCUUUUGGACUGUAAAGUUUUAGGCUCUGGGUACCAUGUGUACAUGGAUCGAUUUCUACACAAGUCCAAAGCUCCUGAAAGACUUGUUUGCCAUGAAGUUUGGUGCUUGUGGGACUUACAGAGACUCUAGGAAGGACUGCCCACAGGUUGCUAUUUAUUCACUCAAAAGAAGAUUUAGCCGGGGAUCCUUUAGGUGGAUUCGGGAUGGACCUCUUUUGUUUGUGAAGUGGAUGGAGACACAUGUGGUAGCUGUCUGUUCUACCAUCCAUUCUGCUUAUACAGGCGAGACUGUGCAGAGGAAGGUGAAAUCACAAGAUAAAAAGAGGACAGAGACAUUUCCAUGUCCUGCACCUGUGACUGCCUACAACCAACACAUGGGGGGCAUUGACCUGUCUUAUCGGCUGUUAAAGACAGCUGUUGCACUACACAAAACAAUGAAGUGGUAUAGAAAGAUCUUUCUUCAAUUAUUGGACAUUGCUUCCACCAACGCUUUCAUUAUGCACAAAGAGCUAGGUGGUAACAUGACCAACAAAGAAUUCAUGAAACAGCUUAUUGCAGAGCUCUGUGGUGUGUCACAGAAAGGAGCACCAAAACAUGCCUGUACCGAUCAUGUACCAGUUCCAGGAGCUAAUAUGACAUCUCAUGUAAAGAACCUUUCUAGUGUUCAUCGCCGGGAAUGCAAGUUUUGCAAAGGACAGGACAUUAAAAGGAAUAUCACACCUUGGAAAUGUCAGGCAUGUGAUGUUUACUUGUGUAUUCAGUUCAGCAGGAACUGUUUUCAAAAAUGGCACGAAGCCUUGUAACUGUAUUCUCAAAUCUAUGUGCUGUGAACUGUUCACUUCAAAGAUUACAAUGCUUAUAUGCAAUACUAUGCGAGAGAUUAUCUUACCGAUCUAAAACUUUUAAACUGUAGUGUAUUUUAGAAUAAUAGUAAAGUCAUCAAAACUAUGUAAUGGUAGAAAUGGAAAUAUGGGAAUUAUGUUGUGACUAAAAAAAAAAUCCCAAAUUAAUCAAAACUGUUAUAUCUUCAAAGUGGCCACUGUAAGGAUGGCUCUGGGAUGGCUAUUCAACUCUGCAAGAAACAAGUCAUAAAAGCUCUCACACAGAAGAAUAUCUCCACAUAAACAAACACACCCUGCCCAGCUUGAACCAUAAAAUGCAAAUCUCUUCCCUCUACCCCUCCCAAAAUCCCCUUUGUCUGUUUUCUCUGGUUUGAGUACUUAAGGCGACGUGACGCAUUGUUCAAUGAAAAAUCUGCCUUUCGGAUCUCACACAUGGAUAACUGUGUGUAGUUUUCUAUCAGGUAAUCAAUUAAUGGUAAUUGCAAUUUGAAUGAAAAGGUCUCUCUGCAGCCAGAUUGAUCCACACAGACAACGUGUUUUUUUUUUUCUAUCCCGGGUAAUUACAAUUUUAAUUUUCUUAUAUUUGGAAAAUGUUUGAAUGGAAUGCAACUGUAAUUAUAUUAUUCAUUGAUGAUUUUAGUUUGAUGUAUUAUUUUAAUUGGAUUGUUUGAAUGUAUUACUAAUACCUACUAAAAUAAAU